CAGCAUGCCUAGCUGCAGACGGAUCUUAUCCUCGCUGCUGCAAACUCUCCAAACUUAAUGCCGAGCCCCGCAGGGAAACAGGUCGUGCUCUGGCGACGGAUGGUGGCCGCUCUGGAGAAAUAUGAGGAAGUGCUGGCUUACACCAGGGUUGAUGGAUUGAUGGAGCGCAGACUCCCAGCAUCACCGAUCCAGCGCCGAGACUGGGGUUUAAGAACAGUUAUUUUGUAAACUCUAUUCUAAUCACAGAAGGAGAUUCAUCCAAAGAAAACCAUAGGCCGCGUUGUAUUCACUACAGCCCAGCUAAUUUGAUGAAAGGAGAAAACAGAUGCUGGAGCCAUGUCAAAUACAUGCAGUUCCUACCUACAAGCAUCUCUCUGCCUCUCGGACUCUGCCAAAGCAAACACGUCACUUUAUAACGUGACAAGAGCAGGGGGGAUUAGAUUACUCAAUUGAGGGGCUGGAGGGCUUCUAUUAAUGCUUCCAUCAAACUCUUCCGACAUAGAACGCCACAUACCUCUGUCCAUGUUGUUUAAAAAUAACCUUCUGUUUAAUGAAACAAGGUUUCUAAGAGGCUGGUAAGAAGGUUCCCGAUUCGUCUGAAACUUUUAAAAGGGCUAUAACUUUCCAUGUGACUUGCUUUCUAUAUAAGGCAGAGCUUGCUCCAUAUAAAUGGAUACUCCCACUGAUGGAGUGUCUUCUUUCAAAUGUUGUCCUAAAGUCGAGCAGUGGUGGAACUGUCGCAGGCAAUGGCAGCACUUGCCUCCAGGGGCCACAUGCUGGGGGAAGGCGUUAAGAGGUGGGGAGACUGGAAGAUGGUAUAUAGGCCGGUGCAUAAAAAUGUAAAAGGCAAAAGGAUGGUUCCUUAGUGUGUGGGGCUUCCUGGCAUGUUUAAGCCCCAAAAAUUAAAAGGGCAAUUCUGUUAAUAGCAAAACCAAAAAGGCAAGCACAGCAUUUUGCAGUGCAUGCAGUACGCCAAGCUGUUCAUCCUGCAGUAAGAUAAUGACACAAAGCAUACCUCCAGGCUGUGUCAGAAUGACCUUAGAGGAAAAGAACAAGGGGAUGGCUGUACAGUUUCCAGAUGGGAUGUGUCCAGCAUCCCGGCUGUCUGGGUGCUGGCGGUCAUGUGACCGACGCCGGAAUCCCGACACCAGACAGAAGACCGGAGCUGGAUCACUGACAGCUGACAUUCCGAAUGAGAGUAUCAGGGUUCAGGCUUAGAGUUAGGGCCGGGGGAGGGUUAGGCACUGUGUGUGGGGGAGGGUUAGCCCUAGCCGCCACCCUUCCGAGGUUUAGCCAUAGCAGACACCCCCAGAGGGCUAGCCCUAGCCACCCCCCCAAGGGUUAGGGUAGAGGGUGGGUAGAAAUACUUACCCCUCUGAUGUCGGCACCUUCAGUGUUGGGAUGCCGCGGAUGGUCAUCCCAGCCGCAGGCAUUUCGUAUGUAUUCCCUCCAGACUUCCAGCUGGCUUAGGAUGAACUGGACUGAACUGUGACAGCACAGCAACCACAGGUGCAACACAUUUGUGGGAACUACUGCAACAGUCCUGUGAACUUCCUAAACAAUGCUUGAUUGCGAUUGUAGAAAGAAUGCCCCUCGUGUGUCUGCCUUUUAUAUGCAACAGGUGACUAAAUUGAUGAGUCAAAACUUUACAUUACAUUUUGUUAAACAAAA